AUUGAACGCUGGCGGCAGGCCUAACACAUGCAAGUCGAGCGGACGAAGGGAGCUUGCUCCUGGAUUCAGCGGCGGACGGGUGAGUAAUGCCUAGGAAUCUGCCUGGUAGUGGGGGAUAACGUCCGGAAACGGGCGCUAAUACCGCAUACGUCCUGAGGGAGAAAGUGGGGGAUCUUCGGACCUCACGCUAUCAGAUGAGCCUAGGUCGGACUAGCUAGUUGGUGGGGUAAAGGCCUACCAAGGCGACGAUCCGUAACUGGUCUGAGAGGAUGAUCAGUCACACUGGAACUGAGACACGGUCCAGACUCCUACGGGAGGCAGCAGUGGGGUAUAUUGGACAAUGGGCGAAAGCCUGAUCCAGCCAUGCCGCGUGUGUGAAGAAGGUCUUCGGAUUGUAAAGCACUUUAAGUUGGGAGGAAGGGCAGUAAGUUAAUACCUUGCUGUUUUGACGUUACCAACAGAAUAAGCACCGGCUAACUUCGUG
rnacentral:rRNA from 1 species